rnacentral:lncRNA from 1 species
UUACAGGUGUACUUCUUAGCCUUCCCAUUACCCCGUGCCCCUUCACCGUUGACCUUGCCACUCUACCACCACCACCGAGGCGCAUAGAGCCCAAGCUUCAGUACGGAAGAGGAAUUCAGCUACGUCGGGGACUCGGGGGCAAGGGACUGAGGGAUAUUCCACUUCUUUCUAGACCCAGUUCACAGACCUAACUGUCCCCCAGGUGCCAAGUGUCCUAAGAGCUACCUGUAGCACCAGGAAUCCUGCAGCAGCAUCAGAGCACCGCAAGACUCCAUGUGAAGGCGGUGUUUUGCAUCAUCUGUAUAAUGGAUGCCUGCUGGUCUUUGCAGAGGAGCAAAGCAGAGCCUCGAGGAACCAUCUCUGAACAACGGGGAAUGCUAAAGCCGAAGGUUUGUGGCUGACUUCACCGAUAAUACUCUACACACUGUGGCUGGCUACUCGGCAGUCAGAGCAAUAUUGAGGACUAUAAAGGUACUCUUUCUGAGUUUUUCCCAACCUACAAGGCACUUCUUUUUAGUAGUAAAUGGGACAAGUUAGGAACUGGCAUUGUGGGAUGAUGGGG